rnacentral:lncRNA from 1 species
UCCAAGGUCUCCACCAUCUUCGCCUUCUCUACUAAGGCAGGAAACUCCCUAAUGCACAUAGGUGUUAUGGUCUUCUUUAACUCAUGCUUUAAACCUUCUUCAAACUUCCUACACCUCCAAGCCUCAGAGGUAGCUUGGGUGUAGAAUCUGGCUAGAUACACAAACCUAGCAGCAUAUGCAUUCACUGACGUCCCUCCCUGCUCCAACCUGAGAAAUUCAGCUUCCUUUGCAAACCUUGCAC